GGAGAAGUGCCCGAGUGGUCGAAGGGGAUUGACUCGAAAUCAAUUGGGCGGCUUGCUGCUCCGUGGGUUCGAAUCCCACCUUCUCCGCCA
rnacentral:tRNA from 1 species